GAUGAACGCUGGCGGCGUGCCUAAUACAUGCAAGUCGAGCGAACAGACGAGGAGCUUGCUCCUCUGACGUUAGCGGCGGACGGGUGAGUAACACGUGGAUAACCUACCUAUAAGACUGGGAUAACUUCGGGAAACCGGAGCUAAUACCGGAUAACAUGUUGAACCGCAUGGUUCAACAGUGAAAGACGGUUUUGCUGUCACUUAUAGAUGGAUCCGCGUCGCAUUAGCUAGUUGGUAAGGUAACGGCUUACCAAGGCAACGAUGCGUAGCCGACCUGAGAGGGUGAUCGGCCACACUGGAACUGAGACACGGUCCAGACUCCUACGGGAGGCAGCAGUAGGGAAUCUUCCGCAAUGGGCGAAAGCCUGACGGAGCAACGCCGCGUGAGUGAAGAAGGUCUUCGGAUCGUAAAACUCUGUUAUUAGGGAAGAACAAAUGUGUAAGUAACUAUGCACGUCUUGACGGUACCUAAUCAGAAACCCACGGCUAACUACGUG
rnacentral:rRNA from 1 species